AGCUCUUCCAUGCUGCUCUCCUACUCUCAUCCUAGUGUUUAACUAGGAACAUAAAUGUCUAUUUGCUGCUCCAGCCUAAUUUCUGAAACCUCUGCAAGGCAGUUUUUCUUACUGAGAAUUUAGAACAUCAUAUUAUUUCUUAGAGUAAAGCAACAAUGUAAGUUGAAGCUCCCAUAGCAUUUUGAUUUCUUCUCCUGGAAGAUAUGGUCCAAUUUUGGGAAUCAGUUGGCUGCACAUCCCUGUUGAUACUGGGGCAUAAUAUUCAUUUAUCAUGUCUAUAAGGUCUGUGUGUUUUGUCAGUAAAAUACUCACGCAGCUGUUCCUUGAGCCUCAUCUAAUCCCUGAGUCCAUCCAUCCUGGAAAUGUGUGUCAGUGUGUCACUGCUGUUGAUGAAAUUUUCCUUUUUCACAGUCUGUGCCUCCCCCCUAUUUAUCGUUUGAAUUGUCUCAGAUUAACUCUGUAGUCCUUACUGUCACCUCUUCUGCCUUUUUCUAUCUAUUUACCUGCUAGUUACGCCCUGCUCCGACUGCCUUUUCUCCCUUUGCCCGCUGCUGUAUUUAUUGAUGUAUGGCUCAUUUCACCCCAGGCCACGCAAUGAGUACUCUUCUCUUGCUGAGGACUUAAAAAACAUACUUGAUAUGUAAGGAUAGGUUGUUUUGUGCACUUCAGGCCAAGUUAGAGAUGCAAAUGCCAUUAUCUUUAACAAGGUGCACAUUUAAUGUAUCAUACAGCACUCUGGAAAUGCUCCUAGGUCUGAUUCUCAUUUAGACCACUUGAUUGUAUUAUGGCUGCCAGUGCAUCGGUGCUAGUUGUUUGUUGUUGUUUAUUUUCAUCCCUCCUUUCUUUUUUAACAGCUCUUACCCUUUUUCCUGUAGGUAACCCAUUUAACGGUUCUGUUAUUCAGUGGUGUAAUCCUCCCUGCCUCCACUGAGCAUAGGAUCAAUCCUCAUGGUUCUCUGUCUGAAGUCCUAUUUCCUGACUUAGGCUGGAGGGCUGUUUGCAUUGUACAGCACAAGUAGGGUAUGGGCAUGCUUGCAGUUUCUGGAACUGCUGCCAAGACAAUCAUCACAAGCUGUGACUAAAUAUUGUGUUUCUUUGGGUUCAGAAAAGCAAAAUAACUUUUCCCAGCCUCACAACAUGAGUUAAUAUAGAAAUCAUAUCAGUGCCUCCUUUUUAAGGCAUGUGAAAAUACAAUAGGAGCAAAAGUCCAAAUCUGCAGAGUUCCACAAUGUAUUUAUCAUGUUCUCUGAAUUUUUCUUGUAGGUUUUAAUUAUCCUUUUGUCAAAUCUGCUUGGCUGCCUUCUUUAACUUUAGGCUAGAUCACCUUUAAAGUCUCUUUCAACUCAUAAUUCUGUCAUCUCGACUCUAGUUUUAAACAUCCCAAAUGGCUUCCCAAUUUCUACUUAUGUCUCAGCCUAGUUUUGAUACGAGGCAAAAAAAGCUCUGCUACAGGUUAUUAGGGUAUGUUUUAAGUUUGUAUAUGGUGAGAAUCACCAUAUAUGCCUAACAAAAUACUUGGUUUUAUGUCUUGGAUAUAGCAAUUGAUUCUGAAGGGUAAUAUUUAAUGUUGACUUGCUUUCAGCUCUUGGUUUGGAGCUGCCAUUAACUGAGAAUUGACUGCAAUGGGAAGGAGGAAUGGUCUACUGAAUUCACACAACUUCCUUUCCACCUGUUCCUUUGCUUUAUAGGUAUAUGCCUUAAGUUCUAGAGAUGUCAUGAGCAAAAUAACUCCAUUUAUGAAAGGGAGAUAUUUGUUCUAAAGAUGAACGCUGUUCAUCUCCUGCUUCCUUCCCAUGUUUCUCCCUUCCCUACCACAUUUGCUUCCCCAUCUGACCAGCCGCACAAAACCAUGCUGUUUUUCCUAUUGUGCAUUCCCAUGGGGUAGAGACAGCUGUUAUUUUGGUAUCAUUACAGUUGCCGAUGGAUGAGUACACAGGGGAGAGAGAGCUUAGGAACCUCAGGAAAGUUCAAGGCCAAAGAUGACAUAAGAUACGGAAGACCAAGAAGAUGGAGGAUAGGAUAGCUUGAGUAGCCCUAUAAUCCCAACCUUGAGGUGGUUGCCAGCAGCUUGCAGGUUCUGAAUGUUUAUGAAAAGCUUAAAAGUAGUAGCUGGCCAAAGAGUCACAGAAUCACAGAGCUUGGAAGAGAGACCUCAAGAAGUCAUCAAGUCUAACCCCUCUGCUAAAGCAGGUACCCUACUGUAGGUCUCAAAGGUAGGCAUCCUACUCCUGUGUGAUCACUUAGGUGUGUGUGGCCCUCCAUCCCCCUAGAUGCUUGAGAGAAGAGGUUUCAAGUACCUCCUCCAUUUUCUCAGCUUUGACCUGAAGCAGAGGAUAAAGGAUUAUUGUUGUCGUUCAAAGCCAUCUGGAAAAGCUUUUUGUGGCAGUGCCGUACCAUUUCAAUGACCGUGAAACAGUGGGAGUAUGAGAACUUUACUGUGUCACUACAUUUAUAUGCCCUGCCUUAGCUGCUCUCUGUUACUUAACACUGUUCUUUCAAUGUUAGUUCAAAAUGGAUUUGCUGGUUUGCUGAGGUCACUGUUUUCCCUUACUGCUCUGAAGGCCACAAAGGUAAAAUGCUUCCCAUUCAUUGUUUUGCCGUUUUCGAUCUUUUAUUUCAAUUGUGUUCGUGCUUCAAUAAGGUUCUUGUCUUUACUCGUGAAAGCAAACGAAGUAAUAAAAAUGUUUUGUAACAGCUGUAAUAAGGUACAACAUAAUACGUAUAUAUAUAUAUAUAUAUAUAUAUCCUACAACAAGUAUUUCAGAAGCAUGUUCUCUUCUUAAUUUUACCGUGGAAUCAGGAAAAAAGUGUCCUGCCAGUAACACAUUAAAGGUUGUGAUCAGAUUGCCACAAUUUUACUCCCAGAUUUUCUUUCAUCUUGCAACAGCAAAUGAGAACUUGUGGUAUGUUUAUAGAUGUAACACGCUCAGGUUGUAAGCUCUCUUCAUUUUGAGAUCUGUAUCUGAGCUGUAACAGAAAUUUUUGUCACACUAGUGUCUCAAAGACUAAAUCAUGGAGUUGCUUGCAAUUCUGUAAUGUAUUAGACAAUCUGAUCCCAAUUAGAUUACUAACUGCAGUACAAACCACAGACAUCAGUUCCUAGCUAGCACGCCCACAUUAUUUCUAGAUGGUGUAUUCUAUUUAUCUUCAUUUUCAGCGAUUUCACUGCAGCUUUAUAAUUAAACCUGUCUCUGACAUCGCAGGGAAAGGAAAAGUGCUCUGUAGUCAUGGCCAGUUGGACAUCCUUAUGUGUUAGGAAGAUGUUGCAGUGAUAGCUGUUCCACAUCGUUUCUGCAUUUUGUUAUAACAUACAGUGUUCUAGAGUUCAAGCUACAGAGUACUUGGCACAACUGAGUGAAUUGCCUUGAUUGAUACCAUUUCAUAUGUCAUGGCUUAUUAGUGAUUUUUAAUUUAAGGAUUAUUGGGCUGAUUACACUCAACAGUUAUUUCUGUGAAUUCAACAAAGCUUUUGAAAUUUAACUCCUUUAGGUUCUUUAUUUGUAUGUCAUGGCCUUAUUCUUCAAAUACAGUUUGAAAAAUAAAUAAAAGACCAUAUGUAGAUAACACAGCAGUUGUGCAGUGCAUGUAGAUCCCUGUAUAGGAGCCUUACAAAUUUGAAUGCUCAGGAAUGAAGGUGCUCAAAAGGCCUAUUGCAUGUAAAGUUUAGUGGGCAUGGUGGUGGUGAAUUAAUGGUUGUAGUAGAUGAUCUUAGAGGUCUUUUCCAGUCUUUAUGGUUCUCUGAUUCUAAAUUCACUCAACAAUUAGGAAGCAUCAGGAUUAAAAUUCCUGCAUAAAAAUAUGCAUUUACGGGGAUUUUUUGAAAGGUAUCAGAACUCACUGUGAACUCUUGGAAAAAACAGCCAAGCACUGCUCUGCAUUUUGCAUAUCUUUAUAAUUUUGAAAGUAAUAGUCCAAGGUAUUUUAGUGGGAGUUAGCCUUUGGUGAUUUUCUACCAGUAUUGAGCACAAUAGAUACACCAAAAUCAUUCUGCAGUACUAUACAACUUGUCAGAAUUGUGGAUUUUGUUUAGAAGUUUAGGGGAUUUUCUGCAGAACCUAAACCUGAAAAAAAAAGAUAUAGGAGUGUCUCAAAGCACAUAAAUUUUAAGUUCUUCACAGAAGUGAGGCACGAGUGAAAAAUUACCAGACGUAUAAAGUUCUUUAGAAGAGAAGAAACAGGUGCUCUUUGCUUUUGAAUGACUAAUCUAAAUCCAAAAGUAUUAUUUUUUUUUCAGGCUAAGCAUGAGUUUCUUUCAUUUUUCAGUCCUGAGCCAAGUCUUUACUCUUUGAAGAUGUCAUUAAAACCACCUCAAGGUCUCUCUGCCUCAAACUGUGUGAUUUUCAGCAAUUGCUUAAAGGAUUGACAACAGUGGAGAUAACUCCAGCUGAAGUGCUCCAACAGCAGGAGUCUAGAGGA
ensembl:lncRNA